rnacentral:rRNA from 1 species
GUGGGGAAUAUUGCACAAUGGGCGAAAGCCUGAUGCAGCAACGCCGCGUGAGGGACGACGGCCUUCGGGUUGUAAACCUCUUUUAGUAGGGAAGAAGCGAAAGUGACGGUACCUGCAGAAAAAGCACCGGCUAACUACGUGCCAGCAGCCGCGGUAAUACGUAGGGUGCAAGCGUUAUCCGGAAUUAUUGGGCGUAAAGAGCUCGUAGGCGGUCUGUCGCGUCUGCUGUGAAAACUGGAGGCUCAACCUCCAGCCUGCAGUGGGUACGGGCAGACUAGAGUGCGGUAGGGGAGAUUGGAAUUCCUGGUGUAGCGGUGGAAUGCGCAGAUAUCAGGAGGAACACCGAUGGCGAAGGCAGAUCUCUGGGCCGUAACUGACGCUGAGGAGCGAAAGCGUGGGGAGCAAACAGGAUUAGAUACCCCUGUAGUCC